rnacentral:rRNA from 1 species
AUUGAACGCUGGCGGCAUGCUUUACACAUGCAAGUCGGACGGCAGCACAGAGAAGCUUGCUUCUUGGGUGGCGAGUGGCGAACGGGUGAGUAAUAUAUCGGAACGUACCGAGUAAUGGGGAUAACCUAAUGAAAGGAUUGCCAAUUCCGGCUAAUUCUCUGAGGGGGAAGGCAGGGAACUUUCGGGCCUUCCUUUUUUCGACGGUCGGUUUUCUGAUUAGCUAGUUGGUGGGGUAAGGGCCUACCAAGGCGACGAUCAGUAGCGGGUCUGAGAGGAUGAUCCGCCACACUGGGACUGAGACACGGCCCAGACUCCUACGGGAGGCAGCAGUGGGGAAUUUUGGGCAAUGGGCGCAAGCCUGAUCCAGCCAUGCCGCGUGUCUGAAGAAGGCCUUCGGGUUGUAAAGGACUUUUGUCAGGGAAGAAAAGGCUGUUGCUAAUACCGACAGCUGAUGACGGUACCUGAAGAAUAAGCACCGGCUAACUACGUG